rnacentral:rRNA from 1 species
GACGAACGCUGGCGGCGUGCUUAACACAUGCAAGUCGAACGGAAAGGCCCUGCUUUUGUGGGGUGCUCGAGUGGCGAACGGGUGAGUAACACGUGAGUAACCUGCCCUUGACUUUGUGAUAACUUCAGGAAACUGGGGCUAAUACCGGAUAGGAUCUCCUGCUGCAUGUUGGGGGUUGGAAAGUUUCGGCGGUUGGGGAUCGACUCGCGGCUUAUCAGCUUGUUGGUGGGGUAGUGGCUUACCAAGGCUUUGACGGGUAGCCGGCCUGAGAGGGUGACCGGCCACAAUGGGACUGAGAUACGGCCCAGACUCCUACGGGAGGCAGCAGUGGGAAAUAUUGCAGAAUGGGCGGAAGCCUGAUGCAGCAACGCCGCGUGCGGGAUGACGGGCUUCGGGUUGUAAACCGCUUUCGACUGUGACGAAGCGUGAGUGACGGUAAUGGGUAAAGAAGCACCGGCUAACUACGUG